UCGGGUAGGGUGUAGAUUUUUCUGCACCGGUGGGAAAAAGGUGCAAGAACGGAACUGCACCGUUUUUAAAAACGAACGAUUCCAGUGCAAGUUUGCCUACGCCGGUGCAAGCAGUGCGAAUAAACGAAAACGACAUAAACAACUAGUGCCCUUUGGAUUUGGCUUACGGUGAGAUUAUCUCGAUUUUUUAUUUGUUUAUGUUUUGAUCUACCCGCACGAAACCGGACCAGGCAAAGUGAGGAGGACAACGAGAGGGCAACAAGAAUCACUUUUGGCAGACAUCGUUAGGAAAAAGGAAGGUAAAGCGGAAUCACUCCUUGGCCUGGACACACAAUUGAUUCGUUAAAUUCCGACGCGGUGAUCAUGAUGGCCCCUUGCGAGUUCAUCGUCUUUUCCUUGCAAACGAAAUUAAAUCGAUCGUUGGCAGCAGGUGGGGACAGCGGAGAUCAACAACAUCACACUUUUUUCCGGCCCGAAACGUUACUAUUCCGAGAAGCAGGAAUUGUAGUAAGCCACCGAAAGUGUUAACGCGGGAAUGUUUGGUCUGUUCAAGGAUCUGGAUCCGGGUCGGUUCGUAUUUUUCCUAAAAUUUAUUGUUUCUUACGGAGUUGCAGCGCUAGUUGCGGUAAUUUUUACUAAUUGAUAAAAAAUGUAUUUUCUAUGUUUUUUCCCCAAUAUUGUCUUCCAGUAUGAUAUGUUAAUAGAAUAACAGUAUCUGCA